rnacentral:rRNA from 1 species
CCUACGGGAGACAGCAGUUGGGAAUAUUGGGCAAUGGAGGCAACUCUGACCCAGCAACGCCGCGUGAAUGAUGAGGGUCUUCGGAUUGUAAAGUUCUGUUAUGGGGGAUGAACACAAUGACGGUACCCCAAUAUCAAGCCACGGCUAACUACGUGCCAGCAGCCGCGGUAAUACGUAGGUGGCAAGCGUUAUCCGGAAUGACUGGGCGUAAAGGGUGCGUAGGUGGUUUAGUAAGUUGGCGGUGUAAUUCCGGGGCGCAACCUCGGCGCUACCGCCAAAACUAUUAGACUAGAGUGCAGGAGGGGUAAGUGGAAUUCCUAGUGUAGCGGUGAAAUGCAUAGAUAUCACGCAGAACUCCGAUUGCGAAGGCAGCAUACCGGCGCUCAACUGACGCUGAGGCACGAAAGCGUGGGGAUCGAACAGGAUUAGAUACCCUUGUAGUC